rnacentral:sRNA from 1 species
UCGUUGCGUGAGGGAUAGCAGUGGAGCUCUUUUUAUCAAUUGCCUCGGGUUUAAACCCGAGGCAAUUGAUAAAAAAGCGGGAACGAAUAGCCCGACCCGAA